GUGCUCCCUUCAGCAGCACAGAUAACUAAAAAUUGAAAUGAUACAGAGAAGAUGAACAUGGUCCCUUUGUGAGGGUGAAACACAAAUUAGUGAAGCAUUCAUACUUUGU
rnacentral:snRNA from 1 species